rnacentral:rRNA from 1 species
GUGGGGAAUAUUGCACAAUGGGCGCAAGCCUGAUGCAGCAACGCCGCGUGAGGGAUGACGGCCUUCGGGUUGUAAACCUCUUUUAGUAGGGAAGAAGCCUUCGGGUGACGGUACCUGCAGAAAAAGCACCGGCUAACUACGUGCCAGCAGCCGCGGUAAUACGUAGGGUGCAAGCGUUGUCCGGAAUUAUUGGGCGUAAAGAGCUCGUAGGCGGCUUGUCGCGUCUGCUGUGAAAACCCGAGGCUCAACCUCGGGCCUGCAGUGGGUACGGGCAAGCUAGAGUGCGGUAGGGGAGAUUGGAAUUCCUGGUGUAGCGGUGGAAUGCGCAGAUAUCAGGAGGAACACCGAUGGCGAAGGCAGAUCUCUGGGCCGUAACUGACGCUGAGGAGCGAAAGCAUGGGGAGCGAACAGGAUUAGAUACCCCGGUAGUCC